rnacentral:rRNA from 1 species
AUUGAACGCUAGCGGGAUGCCUUACACAUGCAAGUCGAACGGAGUGGCGAACGGGGAAGUAAUGUAUCGGAACGAGCCCAGGAGCGAGGGAUAACUAUGAGAAAGCGAAGCUAAUACUGAAAACUCUUGGAGCCGCUGUUGUCGGAUUAGCUAGUUGGUGGGGUUACGGCUCACCAAGGCGACGAUCCGUAGCCGGGUGGAGAGGAUGACCAGCAACACUGGGACUGAGACACGGCCCAGACUCCUACGGGAGGCAGCAGUGGGGAAUUUUGGGAAAUGGGGGAAACCCUGAUCCAGCCAUCCCGCGUGUGCGAUGAAGGCCUUCGGGUUGUAAAGCACUUUCGGCAGGAAAGCGGUACCUGCAGAAUAAGCACCGGCUAACUCCGUGCCAGCAGCCGCGGUAAUAC